UCUGUCUGCCCUGGGAAGGGUCUUUCUGUCACUCAUUAGGAUUCUUAGCCACAGCUGUAGCCUGAGGAGAACAAAGAUGCAAGAUGAAGGGGACAGCGAAAGGAAAGCAGGUUUAUUAUUUUGCUGAAGGAAAGGAGGAUAAUGACAUAGCCAGAAGCCACAGAGGUCCAGUUUAUCUCUUCUGAAACUCAGAAGUUUGGUCUGAGAGAUUUGAAUGGGACUAUCCUUUUUCAUCAGGCCUGAAAAAUACUUGUAGGAGGGGUUAAAUGAGGGGCUACGGCUUUACUUCACAAUGGUAAAAUGUGGAUGUAUUUUGGCAUCUUCAAACCCUAUCCUUGGCUGCAUGAAGAGCAAGGAGCCACACUUCCCUCUAGAGGCCUUCACCAACUUGCUGGGGCGUACAGCCCAGCCAGUAACACUCAUCGCAGAUGCCAAAUGCACAGUAAAAAAACAGACAUGCAUCACCUGGCAUGUCACCUAUUCUUCUGAUGCACAAAUCACCUAAGAGCUGUAAUUCCUGAUAUCCUUACCUCAGCUCAUGAAGAACUACUUAAUUUGCAGCAGGAGGCAGUAGGAUGAUUUUCAUUCCUGCUUUGGAUUUGCUCUUAAGCUUUCUUAUUUCCUACAUUAGCCUACAGCCAUUUCCUUUUGCUGGCAAGCAGCUAAGGAAGAGGCAGAGCUGGAGAAAGUUUUUGCAGUGAGCGACUUUUCUGCAGCUUGCUCCCUGACUCAAGAACAGUCUUCUUCCCUAAGGACCCUUCCAGCUGCUGGCUCCUGCUUGCCCUAGCACUGGUGACACACAGAAUUCUCUACUGACUAACAAUUGCAGCCGGAGAACCAUGGGCAGCCUUCAUGCCCUGUACUAGUUACAGACUUUACAACAGAGGAACUAGGAGGAGACAUCAGACUGAGAUGCUGCUUGCUGAAGAAAAAGUAUGAAAUGAUGAUGAUAUGAAGUGGUUUUUUGCUGUUCUGAUAACCACACUGACAUCUGUGAGCUUUUCCAGAGAGGCUUGAAGGUCUCUUCAGAUCUCCACGUUCAUUUUAGACCAGAGGUUCACCUCUGCGUUACACAAAAGACUUUUGCACGCAGCUGGGCUGUGGGAAAAUGUUGGGAAUUUAGAAAGCGUCAGAGGGUUUACCUCAGUGACAGCAAUGCAAAACACUGCUGACAGAAUGCUGCUGAGAGAAAAAGAAACAAGUGUUUAUGAACUUUAAUAUCUCUGGGGGUUUUGUUUUUGAGUAUUUUAUGUAUCUUGGUGACGAGCCAGUGAAAGUUUCCAUGCUUACCAUGCAGUCUUACUUGGCUGCGGCACGUUUUCUAGAACAGAAAUGGUUUGAAUUAGUGUAAAGGUGCAGAUGAGGUUAAUGGCAUUAAGAGGAGGAAAAAAAGAAGCAAGUUGUCUUUGGCAGUUGUGUUGUAUGCAAGCAAAUAUCUCAAUAGCAAGAGUGUGAAAAGUAAGGAGAAAUGAAAUUGUUAAUGAACUGGCCCUUUGGAACUGAAA
rnacentral:lncRNA from 1 species